GAUGAACGCUGGCGGCGUGCCUAAUACAUGCAAGUCGAGCGAACAGACGAGGAGCUUGCUCCUCUGACGUUAGCGGCGGACGGGUGAGUAACACGUGGAUAACCUACCUAUAAGACUGGGAUAACUUCGGGAAACCGGAGCUAAUACCGGAUAAUAUAUUGAACCGCAUGGUUCAAUAGUGAAAGACGGUUUUGCUGUCACUUAUAGAUGGAUCCGCGCCGCAUUAGCUAGUUGGUAAGGUAACGGCUUACCAAGGCAACGAUGCGUAGCCGACCUGAGAGGGUGAUCGGCCACACUGGAACUGAGCCACGGUCCCGACUCCUACGGGAGGCAGCAGUAGGGAAUCUUCCGCAAUGGGCGAAAGCCUGACGGAGCAACGCCGCGUGAGUGAUGAAGGUCUUCGGAUCGUAAAACUCUGUUAUUAGGGAAGAACAAAUGUGUAAGUAACUAUGCACGUCUUGACGGUACCUAAUCAGAAAGCCACGGCUAACUACGUG
rnacentral:rRNA from 1 species